AUACGUAGGGGGCGAGCGUUGUCCGGAAUGACUGGGCGUAAAGGGCGUGUAGGCGGCGGUGUAAGUCUGGAGUGAAAGUCCCGCAUUCAAUGUGGGAAUUGCUUUGGAUACUGCAGUGCUAGAGUGCGGAAGAGGUAAGUGGAAUUCCCAGUGUAGCGGUGAAAUGCGUAGAGAUUGGGAGGAACACCAGUGGCGAAGGCGGCUUACUGGGCCGUAACUGAGGCUGAGGCGCGAAAGCGUGGGGAGCGAACAGGAUUAGAUUCCCGGGUAGUCCUAGCCGUAAACGAUGCGGACUUGGUGUUGGGAUGGCUUUGAGCCGCUCCGGUGCCGAAGGGAAGCUGUUAAGUCCGCCGCCUGGGAAGUACGGUCGCAAGACUGAAACUCAAAGGAAUUGACGGGG
rnacentral:rRNA from 1 species